GGCAGUGACAGUCAGGGAUGGUCAGCAUACACUUAAGUAAAAGAUAAAGUCUUUCAUGCGUACUGAAAACUAACCAUGGAUACUUGAGGCUGAUAGAACCAAGCAUGGACACUGGUAAAUCCAACCCUGGAUGUUGAUAGAAACAACCAUGGAUGCUGAUAGAACCUACUGUAUAAGCCGAUAUAACCAACAUUGGACAAUAUCAUAACUUACCAUGGGCAGUGAAAGAAUUGAAGAAUUGACCAAAGGCAGUAAAUAAUGCAGGAACGAGUUCAAGGAUCCCCUACAUCUCUACAUAGAGGGACACGCAAACAGCCACAUCAUAUUCCUGAGGACCUUUACAUCUCUACAAGGAGGGACACACAAACAGACACAUCAAAUUCCUGAGGACCUUUACAUAUCUACUAGGAGGGACACAUAAACAGACACAUCAUAUUCCUGAGGACCUUUACAUCUCAACAUAAAUGGUCACACAAACAGCCACAUCAUAUUCCUGAGGACCUUUACAUCUCAACAAUGAGGGACACACAAACACCCACAUCAUAUUCCUGAGGACCUUUACAUCUCAAUAUAGAGGGACACACAAACAGACGCAUCAUAUUCCCGAGGACCUUUUCAUCUCUACACGGAGGAACACACAAACAGCCACAUCAUAUUCCUGAGGACCUUUACAUCUCAACAAUGAGGGACACACAAACAGCCACAUCAUAUUCCUGAGGACCUUUACUUCUCAACAAUGAGGGACACACAAACAGCCACAUCAUAUUCCUGAGGACCUUUACAUCUCAAUAUAGAGGGACACACAAACAGCCACAUCAUAUUCCUGAGGACCUUUACAUCUCAAUAUAGAGGGACACACAAACAGCCACAUCAUAUUCCUGAGGACCUUUACAUCUCAAUAUAGAGGGACACACAAACAGCCGCAUCAUAUUCCCGAGGACCUUUACAUCUCUACACGGAGGAACACACAAACAGCCACAUCAUAUUCCUGAGGACCUUUACUUCUCAACCUAAAGGGUCACACAAACAGCCAAAUCGUAUUCCUGAGGACCUUUACAUCUCUACAAGGAGGGACACACAAACAGCCACAUCAUAUUCCUGAGGACCUUUACAUCUCAAAAUAGAGGGACACACAAACAAUCACGUCAUAUUCCUGAGGACCUUUACAACUCAAAAUAGAGGGACACACAAACAGACACAUCAUAUUCCUGAGGACCUUUACAUCUCAAAAUAGAGGGACACACAAACAGCCACAUCAUAUUCCUGAGGAUCUUUACAUCUCUACAAGGAGGGACACACAAACAGCCACAUCGUAUUCAUGAGGACCUUUACAUUUCUACAAGGAGGGACACACAAACGGCCACAUCAUAUUCCUGAGGAUCUUUACAUCUCAAAAUAGAGGGACACACAAACAGCCACAUCAUAUUCCUGAAAACCUUUACAUCUCAACAUAGAGGAACAGAUAAACAGCCACAUCAUAUUCCUGAGGACCUUUACAAGUCAAAAUAGAGGGACACACAAACAGCCACUUCGUAUUCCUGAAGAUCUUUACCUCUCAACGUAGAGGGACACACAAACAGCCACAUCAAAUUCCUGAGGACCUUUACAUCUCAACAUAGAGGGACACACAACAGCCACAUCAUGUUCCUGGAGACCUUUACAUCUCAAUAUUUAGUGACACACAAACAGCCAUAUCAUAUUCCUGAUGACCUUUCAGCAAAUUGAGUUAUUGUCCUGUGUUACGUUUCUUGAUCAGAAUCAUUUUUGAAAACUACAGGAUGUAUUUCAACUACUGUCUACACACCACAGUUAAGCACAAUGAGAAUAAGUAGAGUGUACAAGAAACUGUUAAAGCUACUAACAGAUCGUUUGCCCUUUGUAACUUUUUCAUAACCAACUGGCUCCGAUUUCUCGAAACUACUUAAGUUUUACAGGCUUAAGUAGCUUAUUUCAAAAUGCCAAAAUAUAUACUUAACUAGAUUUUGAUAAAUCAUAAAAACCUCUUCUGAUAAUCAUGAUGAUAAUUCCUUUCUCAAGUAUAAAAUAUCUUAAAGAAGUAAACAUUACGCAAUUUAUUGAAAUCCAAACAUAGUGAGCUUAGCUUAAUCCUGUUUAAAGGGACUUCAGAAGAUUCGAGAAUUCGGGGCCAGAGCAUUUCUUUAACAUUUCUAGAUCAAAUUCAGUGGAGCUUCAUUCAAUGAUAGAAUUGAAUGAGAGUAAGUAUAUUAUAUAAGAACUAUUAGUCAAGUUAAGCUUUUCGCAGUUAUUGCCAUGUAUGACAUUUUUCCUUGUCCAUAACUUAAAAAUACUUGUUAGAACUUAAUUAAACUACAUACAAUUGUAAAGCACAGUGAUGGUUAGAACUUAAUUAAACUACAUACAAUUGUAAAGCACAGUGAUAGGAAGUAAAGUAUACAUAACACUAUUAUACCUUAUAAAGAUGGCAUUAUUCCCCUGUCCGGAACAUAACUACUUGAUGAAACUUUAUGAAACUUUUUUUAAAGCACAAUGAGCGGAAAUGCACUGUAUGAAAAGCAUAACUCUAUUUCAGCUCAGUGCAGAGCUACUGCCCUUUGUCACUUUUUUUGUUCGGAAAACUUAAAUACUACUCGAUGGAAUUUAAAUAACAACUCUUUUUUAGGGAAUAUUAGAAUAAUAAUGAAUGCUUCACUUGUUUCCCUAGCGCCGGCUGGUGUCUCAGUUUGUUGAAGGAUUUGCAUAAUAGCAACAAUACAUUCAAGAUCUAAGCAAGUAUAUCUUGUAUUGAUUGAAAAAAAAUAUAUGUGUUCCCAACAUAACUUAAUAAUUAUUAAUGAUUCUGUUUGAUUAUACGUAUAGGAAAACAAAGCAAAUUAUGGACAUUUUUCUUUUGACAUGGACAUUCUGAUUAAGGUUUUGCAUGUAAGCACACACAUCAGCCAUUAGUUGAUGCAUUGAUUGUAUUUCGACUUUAUACAAUGAUACUCAACCGUUCAUCCCAAUCAAAUAACCAAGUUUAUUUGUGACAUUUGUACUCAACUAUCCAACCUCUGAUUAGGCCAAUUUUAUAGUUCUUUUGGGUUGAUUAUGGCUUGUACGUCAAAACAAAUUGUUUAAGUUGUGCAUGUAAGAAAACAUAGCAUACUUGAUAAAUUGCAUUGAAACUUAAUACAAAGGUACCAUACUGUCUUUUAAGUAGUGUUUGUUCCUUUUUUAUUCAAUUUCUUCCGUCUGGUUUAGGUUUUGCAUGUUAUCACAUUUAAUUCAAUAGCUCAGCACUUACAUCAUGUACUACACUUUAUAAAAAAAGACGCCCUAACAGUCAUAAUUUUGCUUACGGUUUUGCUUGUUAGCAUAAUCCAUGUAUUGUUUUGAAACCUUAUACAGUUUGCUCACUCUGGAUUGCAUAUAAUGCAAAUCUGGCAAAGUUCCUUGAGCUUAAGCUUUUGCGAUAGAGGGAUUGUUCGUCGUCAACAUUUUAUCGUAACAACAACUUUACCACUACGACAAGAUCAAUUAAACUCCGCAGGAAUGUUCCUUGGGUGGUUCUUAUCCAGAUUUCGAUAAAAGUGGUCCAAUUAAGGAACGGAUUGCGGAGUUGAUGUGUAUGUGGAGUCCGAAUGACUACACGUGUAAUUUGACCAGCCCAAUUGCGUUCAUAUCCCCGAUAAUGACAUCAACCCCGCAAUUAAUUCCUUACAUUUACACUAAUAGUUCAUUAUUUUAUUCAAGAAACGUUAAAAAUGUACUUCAUUUCAUUUCCGAUUAUCUUUCGGUAAUCCUUUCUUACCCAUUCUGUAAAUAGGACGACCCGACUGUUACCGGAAACAUUUUUUUAAAUGACGUCACAAUAACGGGAAAAGAUCAACCACUUUAAAUCACCUUUAAACGUAAAAUUGAAACACUUUUGGCAACAAAACGUUUAAAAUAUAAUAACUUAACAUUUUCUAAAAUGUUGAUUCAUAUUUUACGGGGCCUGCUGACACGAUACAAACAAUAACAAGAUCAAUAGUUUCCAUGUAUAUUGUUAUGCGAUGAAUUGCGAUCCGAACAUAUCCGAAGAUGUUGCGUUCAUCGAUUGAUGAACGCAAUUGCCGAAAGGCAGUUCAUUUAAGGAAUGGAAGUUGAGGUGUAAAUAUUAUUUACUAAACGGCCAAUUACGGCAGCCAUUUUGGUUUUCAUUAACUGAUUCGUUAACUUAACGACUGAUUUAACGGUUUCGUUAUCGUUAAAAUUUCCAACAACCGAAAUUUAGCGAAAUAAAUUAAACGAAGGUAUUUAAGGAAUUUUUAGCAAUUUUAGUCAUUUUAACGCUAAAUUUCAUCGUUAUGUAUUUAACGAAUGUUCCAACAACCGGGCCAAUAUGUUGUUCUGAACAGUUGUCAAUAUCGGUCACCUUAGGUCAAAAACUUAUCAUACAGGUUUUUUCAUAUGUAAUUUAAUUACAAUCCAUUUAUUGUUUAACAAUCAUUGAAUAUAUCAAAUUCAAACUUGAUUAAUUCAAGUUCUGAACAGUAACAAUGUGCUCUUUUGUACAAGUUAUAUAAUCCAACUUAAAUAAUGUAGGAGUUAUGGCCCCCUGUAGCUUUUUAAACAAGUAUACAUAGUUUGUCAGAAUGUGUUUGGGCAUUAUAGCUAAGACUAGUUUUAUAACCCAAAGAUAGUGUUUACCCAACAUUGUCAGCCAAUCAGGGGGCUAGAUUUUUAAAAUGUCUCGUUUCGUAUUUAUUAAGAAUCGUUACUUAAGACUGAAGACGGCUCUGCAGGAUUAAGUAAACUGCUAAUACUGUGCAUAUAGCCACGCAAAGCAGGUAAGUCUGCCCAGGUUUAAAAUCGCGGGGAAACUGUGACUCCUACUUAACCAGAGUACCGAUAUAUAUUGGAUAUUAUAAAGCUUAGAUAUUUAUCAGAACUGGAUGAACUGAUUAAUUUUGACUCCGACUAUGUUAAUACCACAUUUAUUGUCAAUAAUUACACAUAUUUCCUAAAAAUUCGAGUCAAUAGGUGAAAACAAUUUAUUUAGUGGUUAUUUGAGGAAGGUAACUACAUUGCAAUCUGCAUACUGUAGUAAUAGCCGUUACUUCCCUUUGCUGUGUCCUAAAAUACAUUAUAAGUGGGCAUGGAAAUAGUUCAAGAAUUUUGCUGUGAACAUUAACUGAGAGUAACAGUACUAUGAUUGACUUUCUGUGGCAUUACAGUUUUUAGGUUACAUAGCAUUAUGGGAAAGACGUCGACCUAUUCAAAACAAUACGUUCAAGUUCUAAACUUCAACCCUGUUUGAUUGUGCAAAAAUGUGGGAAACUGGCUUUCUUUAAUGGUUUGCUCAGUUUAAUGUGCUGUGAGGAAAUAUUCGGUAUGGGGUAAACAUUUAACUAAUGUAACAUUUUAAGUGUUUCUAAAAACGCGUCAUCACGGCGGCUAUUUAUAUGUAUGGACCGGCCUUGGAGAAACUAUUGGGACAGUCACUGUUUCAAUUUUCUUUUGAAAUACAGUCGAACCCCGAUUGCUCGAACUCGCUUAACUCGAAUUCCUCGUUUCAUCAAAGUGGGUGUAAAGGACCGAUAUCUUCAUACUGAUGAAAUAGCGAAAAAAAGAAAAUUGUCGAAAAUUGACAUAAUCUUGGUAUCGAUGUUUACAAUACAUUCAACUUACUUACUGAACUACCACAUGGUUUAUUAUUUAUUUUAUUUUUUUCGCAGUUUUUUUUUCAUAUUUUUUCCAUUUAAAUGAUUACUAUGUAUGUCUACCUAGUAGAAUUCAUAUCGUAUGCGUGAUUUGUUAGUCGAUGUUAUCACGUGAGAUUACCAAGUUAGGUAUAUGGCUUAAAUAUUCCAACAGUUUAUGGUAAGCCUUCGUAGCACAGUGGAUACAGCUCUUUGCUUCAAUUUCGGCGACACCGGUUUGAACCCGGUCCCCGACUUGAUUUUUAUCAGUUUGGUGUUUUAAGCUCACCUGUCACAUAGUGACAAGGUGAGCUUUUGUGAUCACAAUUUGUCCGGCGUCCGUCCGUAAACUUUUACUUUAAACGACAUCUCCUCAUAAACCGCUUAGCCAAUUUCAUCCAAACUUCACAGGAAUUUUCCUUGGGUGGUCCCCUUUGAAAAUUGUUCAAAGAAUUGAAUUCCAUGCAUAACUCUUGUUAUGAAAGCAAACAUCAAUAUUGACAUCGGCAGGUGACCUUUUGACCUACUUUCUUAUUCUUAAGCUAUAAUUUGGACCAUGUGUACAAAGGUCAAACACUUUCUCUCAGGUGAGCGAUAUAGGGCCAUCAUGGCCCUCUUGUUUACAAUUAUGAUAUCAAAGAGUAAAACAUUUAAUCUAAUAAUUCUCCUGAGAUUCCCUACAAAAACUUUUUUGUGCCAAUCUGAUGUACAUGUGCUUUAAGCGUUCUAGUUUGGUUCGAAUCACAGACCGCGAUGUAUGCAAACGGGGCUCGACUGAACUCAAUUGCGAGUCAGCACCACAUUCUAAUGUUGUUUGUUUCGCUAGCUUAUCCUUUCCUUAUGUUACGUGUUUUGAGUGCUACCCGAACAAUCAUUUUCUAAUGUUCAAGGCUGCUGAAUUAUGUUGCUAUUUGAAUGUGUUAUUAUAAAUUACA